rnacentral:lncRNA from 1 species
UGUAAAUAAACUUAUUAUUUCAUUCAAUUCAACACGCUUUCGUGCACUAUAUAUAACAACACCCAAUCCUUCUUUCCCUUUCAUAAACACACAAACUAAAAUUCAUUCAUACAAAAUAAUCAUAAUAAUAUGUGUUACGAGGUCAAGUGUUCGAGCUGCGGAAAGACCAGUUGGGAUGGUUGUGGACGACAUGUCCCCUCCGUCUACAACCGAAUCCCUGAAGGUCAGCACUGUCAGUGCAAAGAUUGGCCCGGUGUCAAAACCACCGGCGAGGGGACUGUCUCCGACGGCGUUGACGGCGGCACGGGCACAGGCACCGGAGAUUCAAAACCUAGUUCGUCUUGUAACAUCCUCUAGAAAUUGGAGAAAAACUGGAAUAGUUUGUGUUUCGGUUUCAUAGUACUCUAAUUAAUCAUCUUUGGUUGGAAUUGUCUGUUAUGUUUGUUCUUCCGUACUAAUUAAUUAAUAUAAUAAAAUGCUAUAAUUAUUAAAUUUAUCGUGUGUGUUUUUAAUUUUAUCUCUUAAUAUUUCUGAUUUGUAACUUGUGGAAAAACUCAUUAUUCGGAAUUGGCGAAUUUGGAAUCCAAAUUUUCAGAUUCUUAUCCUGUUUUGAUCUAACCACAUAUGGCGUGAUAAUUGGACGCAUAAAAUGAGAUUUAGACCGGUCAUAAUUUCUCAAUAUAAUAAAUAGAUUAAUAUUUAAUUUCAUUACGAAUUUGUUUGGCUGACCUAAAUUAGGUGAUGGGUCCGAAAACAGAUUAAGAUUCAAUUCAAUUUAAUUUUUAUUGAGUUUUUAUUUAUUUUUUAAAAAGAUUUUAGGAUCUAAUAAAAUUAUUUUUCAUUGUUAUGACUAUAUAUAGAGUUUGGAGCCUAAAGGAUAUAAAAUAAAAAUAAAACUUUCAAAAAAAUAUAUAAAAUUUUGUAUUAAUCAAAACGGCAAAAUCGCUGCUACUGCACCGAUUUUGCAAAAUGUGAUUUUUUUUAAAAAAAUAAAAUUUAAGCAGUGAUUUUAAUUUAUUUUUUUAAAUAAUUUUUAAGGCAGCGAUUUUCUUGAUUUUUUUUAAAAAAUGAAAAUCGCUGCCUUCUUGAAAAAAAAAUUCGCUGCCUAGGCAGUGAUUUUCUUGAAUAUUUUUUUAAAAAAAACUUAUUUUGCAAAAUCGCUGCUACUGCAAUGAUUUUGCUUUUUUUCGGCGGAGAGAAUCGUUGUUGUUCUANNNNNNNNNNNNNNNNNNNNGGGCUCCGGACUCACUAUAUAUAUAUAUAUAUAUAUAUCAAAUAAAAGAGAAUUAAAAAUAUUUUGAUGUAAUUUUGAAUUACAUACCAGUACAAUUUUUAAAUGAAUUGAGUUUAAAUUAGUGGAUUAAUAACCUAGCCAAGCUUAAACGGGUAGGAUAAAUUGAACUGAUUGAAUUUAAUUUUGAGGAAUAUUUCUUCAGUUCAAUCUAACUA